rnacentral:rRNA from 1 species
UGGGGAAUAUUGCACAAUGGGGGAAACCCUGAUGCAGCAACGCCGCGUGAGUGAUGAAGGUCUUCGGAUUGUAAAGCUCUGUCUUUUGGGACGAUUAUGACGGCACCAAAGGAGGAAGCCACGGCUAACUACGUGCCAGCAGCCGCGGUAAUACGUAGGUGGCAAGCGUUGUCCGGAUUUACUGGGCGUAAAGGGUGCGUAGGCGGAUGUUUAAGUGAGAUGUGAAAUACCCGGGCUUAACUUGGGUACUGCAUUUCAAACUGGAUAUCUAGAGUGCAGGAGAGGAGAAUGGAAUUCCUAGUGUAGCGGUGAAAUGCGUAGAGAUUAGGAAGAACACCAGUGGCGAAGGCGAUUCUCUGGACUGUAACUGACGCUGAGGCACGAAAGCGUGGGUAGCAAACAG